UUUAUAAAUUAAAUUAAUAAAGUUGGAAAUUAAAAACAAUAGUUCUAAACCCAAAAAAUUUGGCGGUACUUUAAAAAAUCAGAGGAACUUGCAAUUUAAUUCGAUAAUCCACGAAAUUCUUACUUUUAUUUGAAACUCAGUUAGUGUACUGCCGUAUUAAUAUAAAUUUAUAAUUAUAUAUAAUAAAAACGAUUAGUUUAUUAUAGCAGGUCAAAGUGCAGCUUAUAUAAAAGCAUAUUGUGAGUUACAUUAAUAAUAUUUAUGGAGUUUAUUAUUUAAAAAUAAAUUAAACUGGAUUUGAUAGUAAUUAAUAUAAGUAAUGAAAAAACUCUUAAAGUAUG
rnacentral:rRNA from 1 species